AACGCUAGCGGGAUGCUUUACACAUGCAAGUCGAACGGCAGCGCGAGAGAGCUUGCUCUCUUGGCGGCGAGUGGCGGACGGGUGAGUAAUAUAUCGGAACGUGCCCAGUAGGGGGGGAUAACUACUCGAAAGAGUGGCUAAUACCGCAUACGCCCUACGGGGGAAAGGGGGGGAUCGCAAGACCUCUCACUAUUGGAGCGGCCGAUAUCGGAUUAGCUAGCUGGUGGGGUAAAGGCUCACCAAGGCAACGAUCCGUAGCUGGUUUGAGAGGACGACCAGCCACACUGGGACUGAGACACGGCCCAGACUCCUACGGGAGGCAGCAGUGGGGAAUUUUGGACAAUGGGGGAAACCCUGAUCCAGCCAUCCCGCGUGUAUGAUGAAGGCCUUCGGGUUGUAAAGUACUUUUGGCAGAGAAGAAAAGGUAUCUCCUAAUACGAGAUACUGCUGACGGUAUCUGCAGAAUAAGCACCGGCUAACUACGUGCCAGCAGCCGCGGUAAUACGUAGGGUGCAAGCGUUAAUCGGAAUUACUGGGCGUAAAGCGUGUGUAGGCGGUUCGGAAAGAAAGAUGUGAAAUCCCAGGGCUCAACCUUGGAACUGCAUUUUUAACUGCCGAGCUAGAGUAUGUCAGAGGGGGGUAGAAUUCCACGUGUAGCAGUGAAAUGCGUAGAUAUGUGGAGGAAUACCGAUGGCGAAGGCAGCCCCCUGGGAUAAUACUGACGCUCAGACACGAAAGCGUGGGGAGC
rnacentral:rRNA from 1 species